UCAAACUUUGCAAACUCAGUUCUGAGUGUUCUGACCUUGUAUGAUUAUUGAUUAUCAUUUCGAAUUAAGUAUUAGUGUUAGGUUAUCAUCAGCAGUCUUUAGUUUCGAGUCUGCAUAUUGAUAAGUAUCCGUGUUCGUUGCAGUUUCUCCGUUAUUCUCUCUCAUGAGUCAUGAAGCUAAUGGUAUCAGUCUCUAUGCAUCUGCUGACCUCGUCCAUAGAGCUCUUCUGUUGUAUAUACCAUUUAUUUAUGUAGUACCGAAUUGCUUUAUUCAGCCUAGAGACUAGAGAGGCUCAGAAAGAAGCAGAACAAGCUGAAGCUAAGUUUGGACAAAUUGAUGGAGAUCACCUCACACUAGUUCUGCUAGGGAACUUGUUUACAAAUAGCGGGGUGAUCUAAGCAGUGAUUCCUAAUUAAUUUUGAAUUUUAAAUUUCAAUCUCGACCUUUUUGUGUAUAGAUAAGUUAUUUAGUAACCUUUUGGUCAUUAUAAAAAAUUAGAAGGCAAAUUUAUUCAUAUUUAAAAAUUUUGAUUCUAGAAAAUAGAGCAUGAAGUUUUUAUUGGACUAAGAUCUUUGAUCGGUUACAUCUCUACUAAAUUGUUUUUCUAGAAUUUAAAAUUGACAGUGAUAUUGAUGGUAAGAAGGGUUAAUUUGAUAUAUAUGAUACGGAUAGUGAUAAAUAUGUUAACAUUAUGGUAUUAGAUUUGGAAAAUAUGUUAAUAUAUAAAAUAAUAUAAUUUAAUACGAUUAAAAAAGUAAAUCGAUA
rnacentral:lncRNA from 1 species